AUUGAACGCUGGCGGCAUGCUUUACACAUGCAAGUCGAACGGUAACAGCACUUCGGUGGCUGACGAGUGGCGAACGGGUGAGUAAUACAUCGGAACGUGCCUAGUAGUGGGGGAUAACUACUCGAAAGAGUAGCUAAUACCGCAUGAGAUCUAAGGAUGAAAGCAGGGGACCUUCGGGCCUUGCGCUACUAGAGCGGCUGAUGGCAGAUUAGGUAGUUGGUGGGAUAAAAGCUUACCAAGCCGACGAUCUGUAGCUGGUCUGAGAGGACGACCAGCCACACUGGGACUGAGACACGGCCCAGACUCCUACGGGAGGCAGCAGUGGGGAAUUUUGGACAAUGGGCGCAAGCCUGAUCCAGCAAUGCCGCGUGCAGGAUGAAGGCCUUCGGGUUAUAAACUGCUUUUGUACGGAACGAAAAGCCCUCUUCUAAUACAGGAGGGUCAUGACGGUACCGUAAGAAUAAGCACCGGCUAACUACGUG
rnacentral:rRNA from 1 species